rnacentral:rRNA from 1 species
UACAGGGGGGGCAAGCGUUGUUCGGAAUUACUGGGCGUAAAGGGCUCGUAGGUGGCCAACUAAGUCAGACGUGAAAUCCCUCAGCUUAACUGGGGAACUGCGUCUGAUACUGGAUGGCUUGAGUUUGGGAGAGGGAUGCGGAAUUCCAGGUGUAGCGGUGAAAAUGCGUAGAUAUCUGGAGGAACACCGGUGGCGAAGGCGGCAUCCUGGACCAAUAUGACACUAG